UUGUAGUUUCUCCAUUUAUUUAGAUUAGUUAUUGAUGCUUUAAUCUGUACCUUUGGAGAUGUUGUGUUUCUAGAAUCAUUCAUCAUCCUUCUGAACUUUUGUUGAUGUUUGCACGUUUGAAGAAAGAGGCAACCCCUCUAAUCAUGCCAGCUACUCUUCAGAAAUUCUGGGUGGAAUAGGAAGUACAAUGUCAUUGCCUAAUUUGUGGAUCAAUAAAGACCAUCUGGGGCUGUCAUGUAGCCUUGCCCUUUCUGUAAGAACUGUUGAGAAGGAAUUGUCGAGGUUGUCAGGAACACAUGCUUUACACCACUUGCACAACAUCUGUAUGAGGAAUGAAGCUUACACAAGUCUGGGUAAAGUUACGCAGUGUGCAGGAAGUCCCUUUGACUGUGUGUGUGGAGAGCUGCAUCUGAAAUCACCCCGCUGUACACCAUUCAGACAUCACGUUUUUAAAACAGAGCUUCAUGAAGCUCAAGUUGCUCCUGAAUUUCUCCUGUGGCCCAUUAUGACCUUGAUCUUUCUGCCUUCAUAUUGCAAAUGCUGGGCUCAUAGGUAUACACUGCUGUAUCCAGUUGUGUCUAUUUCUGGGGAUGGAUCUCAGGACUUCAUGUAUGCCAGGCAGGAGGAACUCUACCAACUCUACAUCCCCAGCUCUGGAAAUAAUUUCUCUAAAAUCUCCCCUAACAAACUAUACAAAAAUGUGAAGGGAAUCUUCCUCUGAACAAAUCAGUGUCAGAGCAUCUAGCAGUUUCUAUCUUGGCUCCCCUUGGCCUAAGAAGGCUGAAUACCCAUCCUAAAGGCAGCUCAGCUUCUGGGAGGGAGCUUUCCUAUACUCCACACAUUUGUUUUCCUGUGUGAACCUCGGAUUCUUCAAAGAAAGGGCAAAUGUGAAUCAGCAAUGUUUCCAGAACAUCAAGAACAUUGUAACAAAGAACCAAGGAGCCUAAGAUUGUUUCCUUCCUGCUACAUCUGUGAUGCUCUGUUUGCAGCCAUGCCCAUGGCAUGGACCUUCAACAGAGUAUUCCUAGGUUCACAUUUCUGCUCUGAAUGGAAUUUGUUCAUUUUGUAACCCAACUCACACUAUGAUGGCUCGAUACACUAUGUUGAACAAUACAUUUCUCACCUUUUACGUAAAUGAGAAAUGAAAAAAAUUCUUUGUUUAUUUGUUUUCUAGUGUUUUCCUUUGCAUAUAAACAUUUUCGAUAUCAGAGUGUUUAAACAUAAAUGUUCUUUAAAUUAUGUAUCCUCGCUCUGAGAGAGAGAGAGAGAGAGAGAGAGAGAGAGAGAGAGAGAGAGAGAGAGAGAGAAUGCCACUAUCGUUGGGACUGGAAAAGGCAUACAAUCUUUUAGAGCUGUAUUUCCUGGUGGUUGAGAGCCAUUCAGCACAGCAUAGGUGCUGGCAACUCGGAUUUCUGCCAGAGUAACAAGUCCUCUCACCCCCCGGUCAAUUCUUCAGCACCAGUGAUUAUUUCUACAAUCCCAAGAACUUCUUUCAACAUUGUUUUGUAUAGCUGAUCUGUUGGCAAUAAAUUUCCUUUACUUUUGGUAAUGUGAAGAUUU
rnacentral:lncRNA from 1 species